GAGACAGCAGCCUCCGCGGGAACACGUAGGUGGCAAGCGUUAUCCGGAAUUAUUGGGCGUAAAGCGCGCGUAGGCGGUUUUUUAAGUCUGAUGUGAAAGCCCACGGCUCAACCGUGGAGGGUCAUUGGAAACUGGAAAACUUGAGUGCAGAAGAGGAAAGUGGAAUUCCAUGUGUAGCGGUGAAAUGCGCAGAGAUAUGGAGGAACACCAGUGGCGAAGGCGACUUUCUGGUCUGUAACUGACGCUGAUGUGCGAAAGCGUGGGGAUCAAACAGGAUUAGAGACCCCGGUAGUCCCUGUCUCUUAUAC
rnacentral:rRNA from 1 species